GGGUAGCAAAGCACACAUACCACUUGAAACAGUUAUGGCUUCCCUGAAAGAAUCCUGGGAAACUGUCAUCUGUUAAGGGUGCUGAGAGUCAUUAGGAGACCCCUCUUCUCCUCUGAGAGGAAAAAGGGAUUUCCUAACAAAUCUCUGCUUGGUAUAGAAUCAUAGGAUUGUAGAGUUGGAAGGGACCCUUAGGAUCAUCUUGUCCAACUCCCUGCAAUGCAAGAAUAUGCAGCUGUUUCAUAUGGGGAUCGAACCUGUAACCUUGGCAUUAUCAUCACCAUGCUCUAACCAGCUGAGCUAUCCAGGUAAGAUAUUGCUUUAAAUGGAAAGUGCCUCCCACCACUCCUCCUCCAGCCAGUCCCUGACAGCUAAUUUGACCCCCAUCCAUCCACACAAAUAAACAAAACAAAACUAGGCCCAUAACCUGUUGCAGAAUAGGUUUUUAACUCACCACACUGAAGACAGAUACGAUCAGAACCUUUAAACUGUAUAUUUGACUUAACAUCAUCAGCCAUUUCUGGAUACAGCAGGAGCAAGCAAGAAAGUGCAAGAGAAAGUAAACGGAGGACUCAGGAAGGCAACUUUCUGUUCCUAGAUACAUUAACCACUUCAUGGUUCAUUUUAUCUCAGUACAGUGGGUAUUAAUUAAAAGCUGUUUCUUAUUCCAAGACAUUUCAGGUUUUAUGAAUGGGCAGCUGCAUGUUUGAAGAACCCUCUGUGGAUAAAUCUCCUUGCACACAAAGAACUACCACAGGGAGAAAACCCAACUACCAUGAAAAGUUACAUGGAAUUUGUAUAGAGUGAUUUAGUUGCAUCAUUGGUUCCUGAACCUAAAUUGUACUUUCCACUGUUCACUCAUGCUUUACACAUUAGAAUUAUGCUUCUUGGUGCAUGGCCGCCACCAUGUUUUUCCAACAACAUUGCUCACAGAAAUUUAAAUUUGCCCCCAUGCCUUCUGGAAGCUUCUGAGAAUGCUUAGAUCAGUUGUAUCUAAAACUUGAUUCUAAACAUAUUUGCUAAAUGCAGUCUGAAGCAGUUCUGAGCCAGACCAGAUUCAUCAUAAUUAUCUCGGAGUAAGUGUGCUUAAGAUCUUGCAGGCGAAAAUGAAGUGCUAAAGUUGGUUUUUCCUCUUAUAAUUGUGUGGCAUAGCAGCAAACUACUGCAGUAAUACUGCAUAAGCCUGCAGCUGAAGUUGGAAUUUCACAGGGAGCAUUUUUUGGUGCUGUUAAAUGGCACCUUCAUAUUCAAAAAAUAAUAUUUCCAAUAAUUGGAGGAGGCAGAUUGCAAAUACUGAUUUUAAUGAUAAUUUCAGUGCUUAGGCUAUCUGCCCAGCAGACAUCAUUUCAUAGCAGACAUUAUCAAGAAUAUUUAAGACUAGCAUUAAAUAACUCACAGGGUGUCCAGAGCUAUCUAUUGAGAAUUCCAGGCAGUACAUAAUGAGGAGUGGUCAAAUAUGAUAUACUGCUAAUGUUUUUUAAAGCUGUCAUUCUUCAAAUAAUAGACUGAGCCCAACCCCUGGGGCUACUUAGCCCUAGAAAAAACCAGCCAAAGGAUAUUCCUUACAAGUAAAAAAAACAUUUACCACGGUUAACCAAUAAUUCUCAGCAGCACAUUAGAGAACAAAAGUUUCCUGUGGAGAACACACUGUACCCGCACAGUUCUAUCCAUUCCUAAAUAUAAGACUUAAAGGCAUCUUGUAUCUACAGAAAGCAGUGAAAUUACCACUGAAAGUGAGAGUAGGCUUACAAACCUCAGUUAAAAUUCUAGUCCUAUGUGUCACGGAUUAACUUUCUCUGUCGUUCUUACAUCAGUCAGAAACCUGAGGCCACAUGUGGAACUCCAUCUCCCAACAGUCCCAGCCAGUAUGAUUAAUGGGCUCUAAAUUAGGAUUAGGAUUCCUUUUUAAAAAUUUGUAAGUUGUGGGAAGCCCACCAUUCACUCCUUCUGUGAGGAGAGAAAUCAAUAGGACAUCAAAGAUCUACUGAUACUGCCAUAUAAUUAUGGUUAUUAUUACCUUUGUCUCAGUUGUUUCAUUACGGCGCCCUGUGGAUUCUAUCAGAUUUGUUCUCCGUGCCGCCACACAAUGCUUACAGUGCUCCUUCCAACAUCUGUUCAAAGGGAGGACAAUGCUUCUUGUUCUUCCUCACAAUGGGCAUCAGGAUGUGAGGAGCUCUGCAAUCCCUGUUCUCCCUCAAAAAAUAAUCAGAACCAAUGGGGACGCUUUUCAUAUGGCCAAAAGAGAGCAAUGUAUUGUACAGAACAUUUUGAGUAUUAAAACACUCUCCGAAGAGAAACCCAAACUGUUGUCAACAGGAGACAGUUUUGUUUUCUCUUUUAAACAGCCAAACGGGAGUCACUCCUGAGAGGAAGCUUCGUAAUCCUAGAGGGCUAUGUAAGAAAUUGCCUUUGUGCAUCUUUGAGCCCGGUUGCCUCAUCCUUGCUUCUGAUACCCUCACUUCUUUCCUCUGUUGGUUCCACUUUUGUAGGGGGCAAAAUGUUUGCAAAGACUACACCCCAAAUUUUCCACAUAUCCCCUAUGAUGCAAUCAGCGCUACCAACCCCUUGAGUUGAACAACAGGCCCUUUGUAUCCACAAUGAAAUGACAGACUUAAACUGGAAGGGAUUGGGAUGCCGGAGAGCGCCUUAAGAAUGUAGGUAAGAAUUAUGGGGCUGUGAGGAAAGGGCUUUGGCCCUGCAGAAACUGUUAGCAGUCAUGUGUCCCUUCUGCAAGGGUAUGGCAGACCCUCUCCAGGAAGGCAUCCUUGCAGAAUGGCUGAGAGAAUUUCUUUCCAGAUUAGUCUCAUUCAAUUUAAUUUUGUAGGUCAUGUCUCUCAAUUAGCACAUAGCCAUUUUAAUACUUGUACCCAUGUCUGCUUCUUUAUUCCACACAUACCGUGGCAAACAUCUGGUUCAGUUUAACAGUGUUUUUUUUGGGGGGGGGGUUGCCUUACAUAGCCCAGCUCACAGCCUUGGGAGGAUGCUUACAUUAUACAACCAUCUUUCCUGCAUUGACUUAAUGGGGUUCCUUGACUGUUUCUCUUCUCUUUUCAAAGACUCCACCUGGGACCAGUGUGCUGUAGCAAUGAUAAUAAUACCAAGAGGCUUAUAGUACUUGGUGAAUCAAAUGGGGGUUACAUAAGUUAAUGCUGGUGGCUGUAAAAGGAAAUCAUGGAAAUGCCCUCUAAACAGGAAAAUAGCAGCUAUCAUGCAAAGAUGGAUAUAGGGCUGCAAUCCAGUAGGUAAAGAAUAAGAAUAACGUCAGAAAUAACACUGAAAUGUUUCUCAGCAUUCUCCAAGGGAGAGCUUUAAAUAAAUGAGAAACAUUAAAUUUAAAGGCAUAGAUUAAAGGUAAAAGAUUUCCGAGAGAAUUCUGGCAUUUCCUCAUUUCCCCUUUGGCAAAGCUGCCUUGAGACAAGGACAAAUGAGGUCAUUUAGUUGCCACACAGUCUAUAUCAGAAAUAAGCCUAUUUAUAGUUGCAAAGCACAAGCCUAAUGAAACAUCAUUAUUGGAGCAUUUCAGAUGUACAAAACCACUAUCUAUGCUUAUAAUAUACAGCUGCAAAAAAACAAAGCUCUGUGCUAAUUGUCUGAUAAAUACAAUCCCUCCCAUGUGAUUUAAGUGGAAACUACAUUUGUCUAGCUAUAAAUUGUAACUGAGAACCUAAAGUAUCAUAAAAUGUGCAUUAAAAAUAUUAAAUCCUCUAUUUUCACCUCUUGUAAACUGGGAGUUCAUACUGUCCUCAUGCAGUUCAGAGUACUAGCAGCCAAAUAACCAUUUACUCAAUGUUUAAAGUUUUCCUCUUUCAAUAACAUAUUGGCACAACCAAUGGUAUCUAAUGGGCAAAAUAUUUUCUCUAAAUAAUGCCCCUCCACACCAAGAAGUGGGACUGUAUUCAACUAAAUCAUACCCAGGGUAGGCCCUUUGAAAUCAAUGGAUUUAAAGUCACAACUAACAAGCUUAUUGAUUUCAGUGGAUGUACUCUGAGUAUGGCUUAGCUGGAUAUGCCAUAUGUGGUACUGUAUUCUGGAAAAUGCAAAUGGAGUUUCUUUUCCAAUGCAUAAGAAAAAAUAGAAACAGUCACUCAAUGGAGCCUUUAUAGUUGGCCCAACAACCCAACAGAAGCUGAGGAACAUGAAAAAUGAUGGGGUGGAAACAUAUUUUAGUCAGAGAUUUAUUGUAUAUGUAGGCAUAGAUCUCAUAAAUAAAAUAAUAAAUGCACUCCUAGAGAUGCUGUGGAGUGAGUUGAACCUUGAAGAACUCAGGCUACAACUUUAACAAGGCAUUCUCAGGAAUGAUUAACAAACUGGUUCCAUGGCAAAAAAGAGAUGCUGUUUCUAGUAAAUAAGGACAGCUGGAACAUAUGACACACACAAAGACACACACACA